AAAUAAGUAUAGGUAAUCAUGCGAUGGCGAGUACAAUUAGGGAUUAAUAGUGCGAGUGAUGUUUGAAAUUUUGCCAAAAUAGGACGAGCCGCCGGGGCGAGUCUAAUUUGGCAAAUAUCCAAACAUCACGAGUACUAUUAAUCCCUAAUUGUACGAGCAAAUUCGCAUGAUUACUUGUUUAUUAUUAGCAUGACAAAAUUGGAUACUUCUCAAUGUCAACAUCAUAUUCUCUCGCCAAAGCCCAGUCCUGCAAGACUUUCAACCAAAAUUUAGUGCUUUUGUUUGUAUUUUCAUUUAGUUCUUUUGUUAAAGCAAAAUUUGGUGCUUUUGUAUUUAAUUUCACAUUUGCGUUUAAAAUACUUUUCCGCCAUUUUGUUUGUUUUGGGAAAUCAUUAAUUGUACUGCAGUACAAUUAAUGAAAUAAUUGUACUCCUCUCAACCAAUCAGAAUCCAGUAAUUUUGUCAUGC